rnacentral:rRNA from 1 species
UUAAGAGCUUGCUCUUAUGAAGUUAGCGGCGGACGGGUGAGUAACACGUGGGUAACCUGCCCAUAAGACUGGGAUAACUCCGGGAAACCGGGGCUAAUACCGGAUAACAUUUUGAACCGCAUGGUUCGAAAUUGAAAGGCGGCUUCGGCUGUCACUUAUGGAUGGACCCGCGUCGCAUUAGCUAGUUGGUGAGGUAACGGCUCACCAAGGCAACGAUGCGUAGCCGACCUGAGAGGGUGAUCGGCCACACUGGGACUGAGACACGGCCCAGACUCCUACGGGAGGCAGCAGUAGGGAAUCUUCCGCAAUGGACGAAAGUCUGACGGAGCAACGCCGCGUGAGUGAUGAAGGCUUUCGGGUCGUAAAACUCUGUUGUUAGGGAAGAACAAGUGCUAGUUGAAUAAGCUGGCACCUUGACGGUACCUAACCAGAAAGCCACGGCUAACUACGUGCCAGCAGCCGCGGUAAUACGUAGGUGGCAAGCGUUAUCCGGAAUUAUUGGGCGUAAAGCGCGCGCAGGUGGUUUCUUAAGUCUGAUGUGAAAGCCCACGGCUCAACCGUGGAGGGUCAUUGGAAACUGGGAGACUUGAGUGCAGAAGAGGAAAGUGGAAUUCCAUGUGUAGCGGUGAAAUGCGUAGAGAUAUGGAGGAACACCAGUGGCGAAGGCGACUUUCUGGUCUGUAACUGACACUGAGGCGCGAAAGCGUG